rnacentral:rRNA from 1 species
UACGGAGGGUGCAAGCGUUAUCCGGAUUUACUGGGUUUAAAGGGUGCGUAGGCGGGCCAUUAAGUCAGUGGUGAAAGCUCCGAGCUUAACUCGGAAACUGCCAUUGAUACUAUUGGUCUUGAAUUCGGUCGAGGUUGGCGGAAUGUGUCGUGUAGCGGUGAAAUGCUUAGAUAUGACACAGAGCACCGAUUGCGAAGGCAGCUAGCUAGACCGACAUUGACGCUGAGGCACGAAAGCGUGGGGAUCAAACAGG